AUGGCUCAGGACGAACGCUGGCGGCGUGCCUAAUACAUGCAAGUCGAACGAACUCUGGUAUUGAUUGGUGCUUGCAUCAUGAUUUACAUUUGAGUGAGUGGCGAACUGGUGAGUAACACGUGGGAAACCUGCCCAGAAGCGGGGGAUAACACCUGGAAACAGAUGCUAAUACCGCAUAACAACUUGGACCGCAUGGUCCGAGUUUGAAAGAUGGCUUCGGCUAUCACUUUUGGAUGGUCCCGCGGCGUAUUAGCUAGAUGGUGGGGUAACGGCUCACCAUGGCAAUGAUACGUAGCCGACCUGAGAGGGUAAUCGGCCACAUUGGGACUGAGACACGGCCCAAACUCCUACGGGAGGCAGCAGUAGGGAAUCUUCCACAAUGGACGAAAGUCUGAUGGAGCAACGCCGCGUGAGUGAAGAAGGGUUUCGGCUCGUAAAACUCUGUUGUUAAAGAAGAACAUAUCUGAGAGUAACUGUUCAGGUAUUGACGGUAUUUAACCAGAAAGCCACGGCUAACUACGUGCCAGCAGCCGCGGUAAUACGUAGGUGGCAAGCGUUGUCCGGAUUUAUUGGGCGUAAAGCGAGCGCAGGCGGUUUUUUAAGUCUGAUGUGAAAGCCUUCGGCUCAACCGAAGAAGUGCAUCGGAAACUGGGAAACUUGAGUGCAGAAGAGGACAGUGGAACUCCAUGUGUAGCGGUGAAAUGCGUAGAUAUAUGGAAGAACACCAGUGGCGAAGGCGGCUGUCUGGUCUGUAACUGACGCUGAGGCUCGAAAGUAUGGGUAGCAAACAGGAUUAGAUACCCUGGUAGUCCAUACCGUAAACGAUGAAUGCUAAGUGUUGGAGGGUUUCCGCCCUUCAGUGCUGCAGCUAACGCAUUAAGCAUUCCGCCUGGGGAGUACGGCCGCAAGGCUGAAACUCAAAGGAAUUGACGGGGGCCCGCACAAGCGGUGGAGCAUGUGGUUUAAUUCGAAGCUACGCGAAGAACCUUACCAGGUCUUGACAUACUAUGCAAAUCUAAGAGAUUAGACGUUCCCUUCGGGGACAUGGAUACAGGUGGUGCAUGGUUGUCGUCAGCUCGUGUCGUGAGAUGUUGGGUUAAGUCCCGCAACGAGCGCAACCCUUAUUAUCAGUUGCCAGCAUUAAGUUGGGCACUCUGGUGAGACUGCCGGUGACAAACCGGAGGAAGGUGGGGAUGACGUCAAAUCAUCAUGCCCCUUAUGACCUGGGCUACACACGUGCUACAAUGGAUGGUACAACGAGUUGCGAACUCGCGAGAGUAAGCUAAUCUCUUAAAGCCAUUCUCAGUUCGGAUUGUAGGCUGCAACUCGCCUACAUGAAGUCGGAAUCGCUAGUAAUCGCGGAUCAGCAUGCCGCGGUGAAUACGUUCCCGGGCCUUGUACACACCGCCCGUCACACCAUGAGAGUUUGUAACACCCAAAGUCGGUGGGGUAACCUUUUAGAAUCAGCCGCCUAAGUGGGACAGAUG
rnacentral:rRNA from 1 species